UAGGUCUAUACUGCUCCCUACAUGGUGUAACAAUACAUCAUAUAGAUGUAUAUAAUGAACAGACUAGGUCUAUACUGCUCCUACAUGGUGUAACAAUACAUCAUGUAGAUGUAUAUAAUGAACAGACUAGGUCUAUACUGCUCCUACAUGGUGUAACAAUACAUCAUGUAUAUAAUGAACAGACUAGGUCUAUACUGCUCCUACAUGGUGUAACAUCAUGUAGAUGUAUAUAAUGAACAGACUAGGUCUAUACUGCUCCUACAUGGUGUAACAAUACAUCAUGUAGAUGUAUAUAAUGAACAGACUAGGUCUAUACUGCUCCUACAUGGUGUAACAAUACAUCAUGUAGAUGUAUAUAAUGAACAGACUCGGUCUAUACUGCUCCUACAUGGUGUAACAAUACAUCAUGUAGAUGUAUAUAAUGAACAGACUAGGUCUAUACUGCUCCUACAUGGUGUAACAAUACAUCAUGUAUAUAAUGAACAGACUAGGUCUAUACUGCUCCUACAUGGUGUAACAAUACAUCAUGUAGAUGUAUAUAAUGAACAGACUAGGUCUAUACUGCUCCUACAUGGUGUAACAAUACAUCAUGUAGAUGUAUAUAAUGAACAGACUAGGUCUAUACUGCUCCUACAUGGUGUAACAAUACAUCAUGUAUAUAAUGAACAGACUAGGUCUAUACUGCUCCUACAUGGUGUAACAUCAUGUAGAUGUAUAUAAUGAACAGACUAGGUCUAUACUGCUCCUACAUGGUGUAACAAUACAUCAUGUAGAUGUAUAUAAUGAACAGACUAGGUCUAUACUGCUCCUACAUGGUGUAACAAUACAUCAUGUAUAUAAUGAACAGACUAGGUCUAUACUGCUCCUACAUGGUGUAACAAUACAUCAUGUAGAUGUAUAUAAUGAACAGACUAGGUCUAUACUGCUCCU